GAUCCUGGCUCAGGACGAACGUUGGCGGCGUGCUUAACACAUGCAAGUCGAACGAGAAUCUACGGAUCGAGGAUUCGUCCAAGUGAAGUAGAGGACAGUGGCGGACGGGUGAGUAACGCGUGAGGAACCUGCCUUUCAGAGGGGGACAACAGUUGGAAACGACUGCUAAUACCGCAUGAUACAUUGGGGUCGCAUGGCCUUGAUGUCAAAGAUUUAUCGCUGAAAGAUGGCCUCGCGU
rnacentral:rRNA from 1 species